AGAGUUUGAUUAUGGCUCAGGAUGAACGCUGGCGGCGUGCUUAACACAUGCAAGUCGAACGAAGCACUUUUACAGAUUUCUUCGGAAUGAAGUUUUAGUGACUGAGUGGCGGACGGGUGAGUAAUGCAUCGGAACGUGUCCUGUUGUGGGGGAUAACUGCUCGAAAGGGUGGCUAAUACCGCAUGAGACCUGAGGGUGAAAGCGGGGGAUCGCAAGACCUCGCGCAAUUGGAGCGGCCGAUGCCCGAUUAGCUAGUUGGUGAGGUAAAGGCUCACCAAGGCGACGAUCGGUAGCUGGUCUGAGAGGACGACCAGCCACACUGGGACUGAGACACGGCCCAG
rnacentral:rRNA from 1 species